AGCGCUUUGGGGUCCUUAGGGACCAUAAAGGCGCUAUAUAAAUACAGGCCAUUUACCAUUACCAUUUACCAUCCUCCCCUCCUCGUCAGGACCAGUCCUCCCCCAUCCUCCCCUCUCCCUGAGGUCACCUCGCAGCCUGAGAGCGUUCACACCAAACCUAAAACUUUGUCCGAGUCAGUCAUUGGACAUUUAAGUUUACUGAGCACGAAGCAUCGAAUCAGUUUUCCUCACUGUGUGAAGGAAGUGCGGCAGAAGAGACAGGAACCCUGGAUCUGCUGCUGAUGUAGAGGUCCGUCCCAGGAAGCUCACAGGUAGACGUUGUCGGCUGAGUGAAACCUCUCGCUGAACGAUCGGAUCGGUGAGGAGCGACGAGGCCUGUCUGUGUCAUGUUUCACUCUCAGGUUUGUCAUAGUUGCUAUGAUUUAAUAUGAAGGCGUGGCCUAAUCCCGGCUUGGGAAUGUGCACGGCUCUGAAAGCUUUCCAGGUACGAAGUGUACGAGCUCUGGACUCUGAGCAGCGUGUUUGCUCUGCAGGUGGUGAAUGCCUGAAGUGUCACGUCACUUUUAAGCCUUUCUUUUCCUGCAGCACACCUGAAUCCGUCAGCCGAUCAGCUGACCGAGUCCGGCCCCGCAGCAUUCCUCACCCACAUUCCAAGGAUGUUAUGAGCAGGAUAAGCCGCUCCCGCCCUGCACACUCACCCAAACACGGCGAUGUGAAUCUCGUCAGCCUGUCGGGCUGCGGCACGAUAACGUCUUCCUGUUUAUUCCCGCUGACACGCUGGUCAUCAGGCUGAAGCUCGGGCUGAGAAGGUUCCAGAUGUUCCAGAUGUUUGCUGUCAGCCAGCUGCUGUGUGAACCUCCGCCGCACACCAACUCUGGAAUAAUAAACUGAAGUGAAAGCUUUGAGUGAGAGGCGCUUUCUGUCAGCUGUUCCUGCCCUUGGACCUGGAUGAUGUCACUGAGGAAGGACGAUGGUGUGCGCUACGAGGCACGAGGACGCUCACCUGAAAGUUGGCGGCCAAUCACAGUGAUGUUAGGAGAAGAAUAAAGUAUAAAACUAAGACGACUCAGAGGUCAGUGUCAGCAGCUCUGCAUCAGUGUGUGUGUUAAUAAAGUUUGAAGCCUGGACAGGAAACCGUCCGUCAUUCAGGCAUUUUGUCAAAUAAAUGUUUGUAAAGUCAGUAACCGACUCGCAUGUUAAAGGUUAUAAAACAGAAACUGAACCCCACAUCAAAGUUGUGAUGGAGAAUGAAUAUUUGUCACUCGGAGUCGCACAGACUUCAGACCUGCUGCUGUCGACGCUCUGAGGGAUCCUUAGGAACAGGGAC
ensembl:lncRNA